rnacentral:rRNA from 1 species
UGCCAGCCGCCGCGGUAAUACGAAGGGUGCUAGCGUUAAUCGGAAUUACUGGGCGUAAAGGGUGCGCAGGCGGACCAAUUAGUCAGGGGUGAAAUCCCGGGGCUCAACCCCGGAACUGCCUUUGAUACUGUUGGUCUUGAAUACGGUUGGAGUAGGCGGAAUGUAGCAUGUAGCGGUGAAAUGCAUAGAGAUGCUACAGAACACCGAUCGCGAAGGCAGCUUACUAAGCCGAUAUUGACGCUCAGGCACGAAAGCGUGGGGAGCGAACGGGAUUAGAUA